rnacentral:rRNA from 1 species
UUCCGGUUGAUCCUGCCGGAAGCUACUGCUAUCGGGGUUCGAUUAAGCCAUGCGAGUUAAAUGUUCUUCGUGAACAUAGCGAACUGCUCAGUAACACGUGGAUAACCUACCCUUAGGACCGGAAUAACCCCGGGAAACUGGGGAUAAUACCGGAUAAGCCAUAGACGCUGGAAUGCCCUAUGGUUCAAAGCUCCGGCGCCUAAGGAUGGAUCUGCGGUCUAUCAGGUUGUAGUGGGUGUAACGUACCUACUAGCCGACGACGGAUACGGGUUGUGAGAGCAAGAGCCCGGAGAUGGAUUCUGAGACACGAAUCCAGGCCCUACGGGGUGCAGCAGGCGCGAACACUUUACAAUGCGGGAAACCGCGAUAAGGGAACCCCGAGUGCCAGCAUCAAAUGUUGGCUGUCCAGAUGAUUAAAAAUCAUUUGUUAGCAAGGGCCGGGCAAGACCGGUGCCAGCCGCCGCGGUAACACCGGCGGCCCGAGUGGUAGCCGUUUUUAUUGGGUCUAAAGGGUCCGUAGCCGGCCUGAUAAGUCCUUUGGGAAAUCUGGCAGCUUAACUGUCAGGCUUCUAAGGGAUACUGUCAGGCUUGGGACCGGAAGAGGUAAGGGGUACUCCAGGGGUAGGAGUGAAAUCUUGUAAUCCCUGGGGGACCAUCUGUGGCGAAGGCGCCUUACCAGAACGGGUCCGACGGUGAGGGACGAAAGCUAGGGGAGCAAACCGGAUUAGAUACCCGGGUAGUCCUAGCUGUAAACGAUGCUCGCUAGGUGUCAGACACGGUGCGACCGUGUUUGGUGCCGCAGGGAAGCCGUUAAGCGAGCCACCUGGGAAGUACGGUCGCAAGGCUGAAACUUAAAGGAAUUGGCGGGGAAGCACUACAACGGGUGGAGCCUGCGGUUUAAUUGGAUUCAACGCCGGG